rnacentral:rRNA from 1 species
UACGAAGGGGGCUAGCGUUGUUCGGAAUCACUGGGCGUAAAGCGCACGUAGGCGGAUGUGCCAGUCAGGGGUGAAAUUCCGGGGCUCAACCCCGGAGCUGCUCCUGAUACUGCACGUCUGGAGACCGGUAGAGGCUGGUGGAAUUCCCGGUGUAGCGGUGGAAUGCGUAGAGAUCGGGAAGAACACCCGCGGCGAAGGCGGCCAGCUGGGCCGGUUCUGACGCUGAGGCGCGAAAGCGUGGGGAGCAAACAGG